rnacentral:rRNA from 1 species
ACUCCUACGGGAGGCAGCAGUGAGGAAUAUUGGUCAAUGGGCGCAAGCCUGAACCAGCCAUGCCGCGUGCAGGAAGACUGCCUUAUGGGUUGUAAACUGCUUUUAUAUGGGAAGAAAACCCCUCUACGUGUAGAGCUUGGUACGGUACCAUAAGAAUAAGCACCGGCUAACUCCGUGCCAGCAGCCGCGGUAAUACGGAGGGUGCAAGCGUUAUCCGGAAUCAUUGGGUUUAAAGGGUCCGCAGGCGGUCAAUUAAGUCAGAGGUGAAAUCCUAUAGCUUAACUAUAGAACUGCCUUUGAUACUGGUUGACUUGAGUUAUACGGAAGUAGGUAGAAUGUGUAGUGUAGCGGUGAAAAUGCAUAGAUAUUACACAGAAUACCGAUUGCGAAGGCAGCCUACUACGUAUAUACUGACGCUCAUGGACGAAAGCGUGGGAGCGAACAGGAUUAGAUACCCUGGUAGACUGUCAU